GAUGAACGCUGGCGGCGUGCCUAAUACAUGCAAGUCGAGCGAACGGACGAGAAGCUUGCUUCUCUGAUGUUAGCGGCGGACGGGUGAGUAACACGUGGAUAACCUACCUAUAAGACUGGGAUAACUUCGGGAAACCGGAGCUAAUACCGGAUAAUAUUUUGAACCGCAUGGUUCAAAAGUGAAAGACGGUCUUGCUGUCACUUAUAGAUGGAUCCGCGCUGCAUUAGCUAGUUGGUAAGGUAACGGCGUACCAAGGCAACGAUGCAUAGCCGACCUGAGAGGGUGAUCGGCCACACUGGAACUGAGACACGGUCCAGACUCCUACGGGAGGCAGCAGUAGGGAAUCUUCCGCAAUGGGCGAAAGCCUGACGGAGCAACGCCGCGUGAGUGAUGAAGGUCUUCGGAUCGUAAAACUCUGUUAUUAGGGAAGAACAUAUGUGUAAGUAACUGUGCACAUCUUGACGGUACCUAAUCAGAAAGCCACGGCUAACUACGUG
rnacentral:rRNA from 1 species